rnacentral:piRNA from 1 species
UCUAGAGUUAAAAUGAUUCAA